AGUCGAGGGGUAUAGUUCUUCGGAAUAGAGACCGGCGCACGGGUGCGUAACGCGUAUGCAAUCUACCUUUCACAGAGGGAUAGCCCAGAGAAAUUUGGAUUAAUACCUCAUAGUAUUAUGAAGUGGCAUCACUUUAUAAUUAAAGUCACAACGGUGAAAGAUGAGCAUGCGUCCCAUUAGCUAGUUGGUAAGGUAACGGCUUACCAAGGCUACGAUGGGUAGGGGUCCUGAGAGGGAGAUCCCCCACACUGGUACUGAGACACGGACCAGACUCCUACGGGAGGCAGCAGUGAGGAAUAUUGGUCAAUGGGCGCAAGCCUGAACCAGCCAUGCCGCGUGCAGGAUGACGGUCCUAUGGAUUGUAAACUGCUUUUGUACAGGAAGAAACAGUUCUACGUGUAGAACCUUGACGGUACUGUAAGAAUAAGGAUCGGCUAACUCCGUGCCAGCAGCCGCGGUAAUACGGAGGAUCCAAGCGUUAUCCGGAAUCAUUGGGUUUAAAGGGUCCGUAGGCGGUUUAGUAAGUCAGUGGUGAAAGCCCAUCGCUCAACGGUGGAACGGCCAUUGAUACUGCUAGACUUGAAUUAUUAGGAAGUAACUAGAAUAUGUAGUGUAGCGGUGAAAUGCUUAGAGAUUACAUGGAAUACCAAUUGCGAAGGCAGGUUACUACUAAUGGAUUGACGCUGAUGGACGAAAGCGUGGGUAGCGAACAGGAUUAGAUACCCUGGUAGUCCACGCCGUAAACGAUGGAUACUAGCUGUUGGGAGCGAUCUCAGUGGCUAAGCGAAAGUGAUAAGUAUCCCACCUGGGGAGUACGUU
rnacentral:rRNA from 1 species